rnacentral:lncRNA from 1 species
AGAGAAACGUUGACAGCAUGCACAAGACAUUCACCGUGCUGGUGUAAUUUGUGGACUGAUCUGGUGCAAUAUAGCUCCUUAUCCUGGUGCAUAAAAGGGAUUGAUCUGGUGCAAUUUAGCUUGCUAUUUUGGUGCGAAAAUAGAUCUUCAAACUGUUAUAUCUUGUCGAGUAAGUGUGGUGCACGUAGAGAUGCACAGCUGGUGUAAAGUUCAGUCUACAAACUGGAUCAUUUGGGCUUCUAUGGGUACAUUUAAUAUUUCUCUCUUUUCUCUAUUUCUCCAUAAAUAAAGGAAUGCAUCCAAUAAUGUUUCUAACUAAACAUUUGACAUUAUUUCUUUCUUUUAUAAGUUUUUUGUUGUGUGAAGAAUGGUGACCUCGACAUCAAAGGUGCAAAAUAGAUUUUUCCGACCAAUAUACAGUCGUUGUUUAGGAU